rnacentral:rRNA from 1 species
ACGCACGCUGGCGGCGUGCUUAACACAUGCCAGUCGCACGGAAAGGCCCUGCUUGCAGGGUACUCGAGUGGCGAACGGGUGAGUAACACGUGGGUGAUCUGCCCUGCACUUCGGGAUAAGCCUGGGAAACUGGGUCUAAUACCGGAUAGGAGCCAUUUUUAGUGUGAUGGUUGGAAAGUUUUUUCGGUGUAGGAUGAGCUCGCGGCCUAUCAGCUUGUUGGUGGGGUAAUGGCCUACCAAGGCGGCGACGGGUAGCCGGCCUGAGAGGGUGGACGGCCACAUUGGGACUGAGAUACGGCCCAGACUCCUACGGGAGGCAGCGGUGGGGAAUAUUGCACAAUGGGCGCAAGCCUGAUGCAGCGACGCCGCGUGGGGGAUGACGGCCUUCGGGUUGUAAACUCCUUUCGCUAGGGACGAAGCUUUUUGUGACGGUACCUAGAUAAGAAGCACCGGCUAACUACGUG